UUUUCAAGAACAGGCUAUCUG
rnacentral:piRNA from 1 species